rnacentral:lncRNA from 1 species
CACAGCUCUGACUUGAAGCACCAUUAUUUAUACACAAUUAACUUCUAAAACUGUCUAUCUACUUCCGAUUGGUUGUUUUAGCUUGCCUAAUUUACAUGUAUCUUAAUUGAGCAUGUGUGUUAGAGAGAACCAGUGGUGGGGUGGGCAUCAAACAAACCCCACAUUUGUGUUCUAAUGGGUCUCCUUGUUUUCUUCAGUUCAAGACUACAAAUGGAACAGCACUUUGAAAAGCAAAUGCUGCCAGCAGAACAUAGAGGUCAGCAACUGCAACAUCCGGGGUUAGAUCACCCCAAAUCUGCAUAGUCAAGGUGCUUUUAGUCUUUUGGGUGGAAGGAGAGGCAACAAUGAAAGGAGAAAGAGGAAAUUAAAACACUGCUAGUUAAAGUCUUUGUCUGAUUCGAGUGCAUGUAGAUAGCAAUAAAUCUCACAUACAUUUUUAUCA